rnacentral:rRNA from 1 species
CGAAAGCCUGACGGAGCAAGACCGCGUGAGGGAGGAAGGCUCUUGGGUUGUAAACCUCUUUUCUCAGGGAAGAAGCUCUGACGGUACCUGAGGAAUCAGCCUCGGCUAACUCCGUGCCAGCAGCCGCGGUAAUACGGAGGAGGCAAGCGUUAUCCGGAAUUAUUGGGCGUAAAGCGUCCGUAGGCGGCUAGAUAAGUCUGUUGUUAAAGCGUGCAGCUCAACUGCAUACGGGCAAUGGAAACUAUUUAGCUAGAGUGUGGUAGGGGUAGAGGGAAUUCCCGGUGUAGCGGUGAAAUGCGUAGAUAUCGGGAAGAACACCAGUGGCGAAAGCGCUCUGCUGGGCCACAACUGACGCUGAUGGACGAAAGCUAGGGGAGCG